rnacentral:rRNA from 1 species
CAGUAGCCACGGUAAUACGAAGGGUGCUAGCGUUGCUCGGAAUUACUGGGCGUAAAGGGUGCGUAGGCGGCUUAUUAAGUCAGGGGUGAAAGGCGGUAGCUUAACUAUCGGAGUGCCCUUGAUACUGAUGAGCUUGAAUGCAGCUGAGGUAGGCGGAAUGUGACAAGUAGCGGUGAAAUGCAUAGAUAUGUCACAGAACACCGAUUGCGAAGGCAGCUUACUAAAGUGCGAUUGACGCUGAGGCACGAAAGCGUGGGGAUCAAACAGGAUUAGAUACCCGAGUAGUCCCUGUCUCUUAUAC